UACGAAGGGGGCUAGCGUUGCUCGGAAUGACUGGGCGUAAAGGGCGCGUAGGCGGUUUGUACAGUCAGACGUGAAAUUCCUGGGCUUAACCUGGGGGCUGCGUUUGAUACGUGCAGGCUAGAGUGAGGAAGAGGGUCGUGGAAUUCCCAGUGUAGAGGUGAAAUUCGUAGAUAUUGGGAAGAACACCGGUGGCGAAGGCGGCGACCUGGUCCUUGACUGACGCUGAGGCGCGAAAGCGUGGGGAGCAAACAGG
rnacentral:rRNA from 1 species